ensembl:lincRNA
CUACAAACGAGAUAAUUUGGCGAGAAAUAACGAACUACCGAUGGAUUUCUGCCAGAAUCAAGAAUCAAACAUGAUGACCAACAACAACACAAGAAGAUUGUUCCAGCGGUUCUCCAAAUAUCAAGGACUUGCAGUUGUUCUUGAUGAGGAGGAGGACGCUCUAUUCAGAGCUAGUCCAGCCGCUUACAAAGUGUCUAAGACUGCCUCUGAGAAUAACCAGAUUUCUCAGGUUGAGAGUGUUUCUCCAAAAGACACUUUCUCUGGGAACGACGGUGUCUCUGUGGUAGUUUUCCUACAUGAGAGUGAUGGUGUCUCUGAGACGUUUCUUUGCUCUGAGACUGACACCUCCUUUCCGACAAACCGUGUCUCUGUGAUGGACACCUUCUCUGAGAUUGACUCUGUCUCUCAGAUUGAAGGUGUUGCUCCAGUGGACACUUUCUCUGAGACUGAUGAUGUCUCUCCAACUGAUGGUGUUCCUCCAAUGGACACCUUUUAUGAAACUGAAGCUGUCUCUCAGAUUGAUGGUGUGCCUUUAACGCACACUGUCUCUGAGACUGACACUGUCUCUCAGAUCGAUAGAGUUCCUAUUAUGGACACUUUCUCUGAGAUUGACUCUGUCACACAUCACAACCAAUACCCACCCAGCACAAGUAAGAUGUACUCUUACUUUGAGUAUCGCAGGAAGAAGGCUGACCCUACAAACACAAGAAGACUGAUUCAGCGUUUUUCUGAAUAUCAAGGACUUGCAGUUGUUCUUGAUGAGGAAGAAGAUGAUAUAUUCAGGGCGAGUCCAGCUUUCAAAGUGUCUAAGACUGCCUCUGAGACUAACCAGAUUUCUCAGAUUGAGAGUGUUUCUCCAAAAGACACUUUCUCUGAGAAUGACGGCGUCUCUCAGGGUGAUGGUGUGCCUUC